rnacentral:rRNA from 1 species
CGCCCGCCGGCGACCGGCGCACGGGUGAGUAACACGUAUGCAACCUGGCCGCCACAGGGGGAUAACCCGCGGAAACGCGGCCUAAUACCCCGUGACGCCACCGGAGGGCAUCCUCCGGUGGCCAAAGGAGCGAUCCGGUGGCGGAUGGGCAUGCGGCGCAUUAGCUAGACGGCGGGGUGACGGCCCACCGUGGCGACGAUGCGUAGGGGUUCUGAGAGGAAGGCCCCCCACACUGGGACUGAGACACGGCCCAGACUCCUACGGAAGGCAGCAG